GUGUGUUCUUCUGUUGUUAGAGGGCAAAGCUCUGGCAGAGUCCUGGAACGCAGCGUUCAUGGAGUCCUCAGCCAAAGAGAAUCAGACGGCCGUGGAGGUGUUUAAGAGGAUAAUCCUGGAGGCGGAGAAGAUAGACGGCGGCGCUCCUCAGGGCCGGGCAUCCUGCUCCAUGAUGUAGAUAACCCCGCACCCCGCCCCCCGCCGCCCCGGCCCCGCCCCUCUCCCACAGUCUGC